GGCUAUCGGUGAACACGACAAUGCGGCUGUUGGUCACGGAUGCCGGGGGCGUGAGCGGGGUUGAGGAGCUCACAUGGUGCUAUACAUGAAGACCUGCAAGUGGUGGCAGGAGGUGGCAUGCCUGCUGCUUGGCUGGAAGUCCGACAUGGACUCCCACGACCGACUGUAAGCAUGGUUGUGAAGACCUUCCAGCAUUACCCCAGGAAGCUAACACAUCAGCUUGUGCCAUACGUGGUGUUUUCUUGUUGAUGAAUGUUGGUCUAGCAUACUCUUUUUGUCUGCCUUGAUCGCAGUGGGGCGGGGGUGAGGCGUUGGAGAGAGAGGCGGGGCAGUGGUGCAUGCGUGCAGUGCGUCUGGACGACGGAAUGCAUGAUCGAGUGAUCGGUGUGGUGGUUGGCGGUGCUUGGGCAUUGAUGUUCGAUUUGAGAGGAAGAAGAAAGAUUAGCUGCUAAUUUUGGGGGGGAAGAAGAGAGAUUGAGCGUGUUGUUGUUGUCGUCUUGGGAGAGGAAUAAAAGAGAGUAGUAAAGAGCUGUAGAGAGAUAGCGAGGGAUUGAGAGGCUACUACUAUUUCUAUUGCUGUCAAUGCUUGCACAAUGCUAUUGCUUAUUAUACUGGGGUAUUCAUCUUUGGAAUAAAAACAA